GAUGAACGCUGGCGGCGUGCCUAAUACAUGCAAGUCGAGCGAACGGACGAGAAGCUUUCUUCUCUGAUGUUAGCGGCGGACGGGUGAGUAACACGUGGAUAACCUACCUAUAAGACUGGGAUAACUUAGGGAAACCGGAUCUAAUACCUGAUAAUAUUUUGAACCUCAUGGUUCAAAAGUGAAAGACGGUCUUGCUGUCACUUAUAGAUGGAUCCGCGCUGCAUUAGCUAUUUGGUAAGGUAACGGCUUACCAAGGCAACGAUGCAUAGCCGACCUGAGAGGGUGGUCGGCCACACUAGAACUGAGACACGGUCCAGACCCCUACGGGAGGGAGCAGUAGGGAAUCUUACGCAAUGGGCGGAAGGCUGACGGAGCACCGCCGAGUGAGUGGUGAAGGUCUUCGGAUCGUAAAACUAUGUUAUUAGGGAAGAACAUAUGUGUAAGUAACUGUGCACAUCUUGACGGUACCUAAUCAAAAAGCCACGGCUAACUACGUG
rnacentral:rRNA from 1 species